GGUUUGAAUGUGUCCUCCAAAAAACAUGUAUUGGAAAUUUAAUCCCCAGAGCAACAGUGUUGAGAAGUGAGACAUUUAAGAGGUAAUUAACAGUCUGUGUGAAUGAAUGAAUG